UGGUGGAGUGAUUUGUCUGGUUAAUUCCGAUAACGAACGAGACCUUAACCUGCUAAAUAGCCAGGCCGGCUUUUGCUGGUCGCAGACUUCUUAGAGGGACUGUCAGCGUCUAGCUGACGGAAGUUUGAGGCAAUAACA
rnacentral:rRNA from 1 species